rnacentral:lncRNA from 1 species
UCCCAAUGAUGAAGUUGUUACCAUCCCUGUCUACAGCUCCGUCGUUGCUCUGGGACCUCGUUGCUGACCCUGGAUGACAGACCACUGCCUAGGAUGAAAUUCCCCUCUGGAUGGAUGGCUUCUGGUUUGGUGAUGGAAUGGAUUCCAGGGCCUCUGAGGAAGGCAGGAAGCCUUGGGACUUGGCAAUCUCCACAGGAGAUGGGGUGUGUGCUAGGUGAGGCCCCCAUCACCAGGAGCAAGGCCUGGUCCACCCUGAGACCCAGCGCCCACUUACUGUCCAUGCCUUCACCUUGCUAAGUUAGUGUGUGGUCCACUUGCUAAGAGAAACAACAGGUAUUAAGGGUUUAAGAAAAAAUGAAACCCAAAACAAGCUCUGAAGUUCUGUAGACCUUGGCCAACUCUCAGCACAGCCACUUACUUGCUAGCUAAUCUUGAGCACGUCCCUUAACUUCUCUAACCUUUUUCCUCCAUUCGUAAAACUGGGAAAAUUUGCAUCUUUUUCGUGCAUUCGUUUUGAGAAAUAGAUGGAUAUGUGUGUGCCUGUCAGCUCGACGCUGGGUGCAGAGUGAGUGCGCUAAGCACGGUGGCUUCCUUGACUGUAGAGAUGCAUCCUAGCUCCUGCCUGGUCUGUCCCAGGUGGACAGAGGUGAUGGCAUCUGGAGGGGUCCCACCUCCAAUGUCUUAAUCCAGGGCCUUUCUGUGGCAUAGUGCUGAGCCAGCGUACUGAAAGGCCACAGAGAGGUGCAGCAGGUGGCGAGUUGAGCCCCCACCUCCCCAACCCCAGUGAUUUUCCCUGAAAAGACACCCCAUGCUUUGUUUUGUUGUCUGGCUUAUGUAAACUUGCCUCUUGUUUUAUAGUUGCUUCCCCAGCUUUAAACUAAAGGCUGUUAUUGACAGCCUAUAGUUGCUUCCCCAACGGCCAAUCCCUCCAGCUCCCCUCCUGCUUCCAGGCAAACAACCCCAGUCAUAAGGGCCUGCGAUGUUCCCAGUCCCAGGGAAUGAGUCCUGAUUGGUCUAAGACAGCUAAGACAAUUCUUUUCUACUUUAUCAAAUACAGAUGACCCCUGAACAGCACCAGUUUGAACUGGGGGGUCCACUUAUAUGUGGAGUUUCUCUCUCUGCCACCUCUGGGACAGCAAGACCAAUGCCUCCUCCCCCUCCUCCUCCUGAGCCUACUCACUGUGAGUAGGAUGAAGACCUUUAGGAUGAUCCAUUUCCACUUAAUCAAUAGCAGAUAUAUUUUCUCUUCCUUAUGAGUCUUUUAACAACAUUUUCUUUUCUCUAGCUUAUUUUAUUGUAAGAAUACGGUGUUGAAUGCAUAUAACGUGCAAAUACAUGUUAAUCAACUGUUUAUGUUACGGGUAUGGCUUCUGGCCAACAGUAAGCUAUUAAUAGUUAAGUUUUGGGGAAGUCAAAAGUUAUAUGCAAUUUUUUGACUGCACAGGGAGUCAGCACCCCUCACUCCUCAUUGUUCAGGGUCAACUGUACUUGGUUUCCAAGCCUCCCUUAUAAGUCGGUAUGGCCAUGGGACCCAGUUUUAGAUGUGAGAAGAGAAGAAGGGUUGCAUCUGGGAAGGAUUUCUUUCUGGAUGAAAGAUAGUCUUUUGAGGAGCGGCUCCUUGGUCCCUGCCCUGUCCCUCCUGCUGGAGAUGCUGCAUGCAAGGGCCUGAUGUCUGGAAUUGAAGCAUCCAUGUGGUGACCAUGAGACAAGAAGCAUGACAAUAAAAUUUCACUGGGUGGAAGAAUGAGGAAGUCUGGAUUCUUGAUGAUACUGUUGCCGUCUGAACAUGCCCUGUGACCCUGUACUUCUGGGCAUCUGGUUACAUGAGCAAUAAAUAUUCUUACGGC